UACGAAGGGGGCUAGCGUUGCUCGGAAUCACUGGGCGUAAAGGGUGCGUAGGCGGGUCUUUAAGUCGGGGGGGAAAGCCUGUGGCUCAACCACAGAAUUGCCUUCGAUACUGUUUGGCUCGAGACCGGAAGAGGUGAGUGGAACUGCGAGUGUAGAGGUGAAAUUCGUAGAUAUUCGCAAGAACACCAGUGGCGAAGGCGGCUCACUGGCCCGAUACUGACGCUGAGGCACGAAAGCGUGGGGAGCAAACAGG
rnacentral:rRNA from 1 species